UGGAUGAGUUGCGAACGGGUGAGUAACGCGUAGGUAACCUGCCUUGUAGCGGGGGAUAACUAUUGGAAACGAUAGCUAAUACCGCAUAACAAUGGAUGACACAUGUCAUUUAUUUGAAAGGGGCAAUUGCUCCACUACAAGAUGGACCUGCGUUGUAUUAGCUAGUAGGUGAGGUAAUGGCUCACCUAGGCGACGAUACAUAGCCGACCUGAGAGGGUGAUCGGCCACACUGGGACUGAGACACGGCCCAGACUCCUACGGGAGGCAGCAGUAGGGAAUCUUCGGCAAUGGGGGCAACCCUGACCGAGCAACGCCGCGUGAGUGAAGAAGGUUUUCGGAUCGUAAAGCUCUGUUGUAAGUCAAGAACGGGUGUGAGAGUGGAAAGUUCACACUGUGACGGUAGCUUACCAGAAAGGGACGGCUAACUACGUGCCAGCAGCCGCGGUAAUACGUAGGUCCCGAGCGUUGUCCGGAUUUAUUGGGCGUAAAGCGAGCGCAGGCGGUUUGAUAAGUCUGAAGUUAAAGGCUGUGGCUCAACCAUAGUUCGCUUUGGAAACUGUCAAACUUGAGUGCAGAAGGG
rnacentral:rRNA from 1 species